rnacentral:rRNA from 1 species
UACGUAGGGCGCAAGCGUUGUCCGGAAUUAUUGGGCGUAAAGCGCGCGCAGGUGGUUUCUUAAGUCUGAUGUGAAAGCCCACGGCUCAACCGUGGAGGGGCAUUGGAAACUGGGGAACUUGAGUGCAGAAGAGGAAAGUGGAAUUCCGAGUGUAGCGGUGAAAUGCGUAGAGAUUUGGAGGAACACCAGUGGCGAAGGCGACUUUCUGGUCUGUAACUGACACUGAGGCGCGAAAGCGUGGGGAGCGAACAGG